ACGGAAGGCAGCAGUGGGGAAUAUUGCACAAUGGGGGAAACCCUGAUGCAGCGACGCCGCGUGAGCGAAGAAGUAUUUCGGUAUGUAAAGCUCUAUCAGCAAGGAAGAAAAUGACGGUACUUGACUAAGAAGCUCCGGCUAAAUACGUGCCAGCAGCCGCGGUAAUACGUAUGGAGCAAGCGUUAUCCGGAUUUACUGGGUGUAAAGGGAGCGUAGACGGCAAAGCAAGUCUGAAGUGAAAUCCCGGGGCUCAACCCCGGAACUGCUUUGGAAACUGUUUAGCUAGAGUGCAGGAGAGGUAAGCGGAAUUCCUAGUGUAGCGGUGAAAUGCGUAGAUAUUAGGAGGAACACCAGUGGCGAAGGCGGCUUACUGGACUGUAACUGACGUUGAGGCUCGAAAGCGUGGGGAGCAAACAGGAUUAGAUACCCUGGUA
rnacentral:rRNA from 1 species